ensembl:lncRNA
UCUGCUGGCAAUGCACACAGUUCUAGAGCCCAGAGGCAACUCUGCAAGAAUAUAAGUCCUUAAAGUAUCAACCUCACCUCCAAAGUACUAAGACAGCCUACCAAGCUUUGGCUAAGUCAUGUCCAACUCUUUUGUGACCCCAUGGACUGUAUCCCGUCAGGCUCCUCUGUCCAUGAGAUUUCCCAGGCAAGAAUACUGGAGUGGUUGCCAUUUCCUCCUCCAGGGGAAUCUUCCAGACCCAGGGAUCAAACCCGUGUCUCCUGCCUUGGCAAGCGGAUUCUUUACCUCUGUGCCACCAGGGAAGCCUAAGGGCUCACCUGCCUUCAACCAGUGAGGAACAUCAAGAGAUCAGAGAUUAGCUGAACUCAGCUUUAACCCUUCAAAGAAACUGUGUAGCUCCAGGAAGAAAAGUUAUUUAAAUGAUACUCCCAAAGAAAA